CCACUGAAGCCUGGGGAGCGCAACCUCGGGUUGUUCAGACUACAUGUGCUUUCCCUUGAUGACCAGAUCCGCCACAAUGAAGCAUGAUUUCCCGAGGAAUUACUGUGGUUUGAACAAUGACGUUGUACUUUUUGAAAACGCUGAGGGGGCAUCUGCCCUGGACUCAGAUGCCAAGUGUGGGAUACACAAGUGUGACUUCCUCCCCAACCUGGGACGCGUUCAGGAGAGCCGAUGAGAGCACUCCGGGCUCUGUGUUUCCGGGAAAGAUGAAGUGAUCAGAGAGCCUGAUCCGGGCAGUGUGGGCAGUCGAACCAUCCACUGGCAAAAACAGUGGGAAAACGGAGCAAUGAGAUAAGCCGGGGCACUUGCCAGUCUACAAAGAAAGUACAACCCU
rnacentral:lncRNA from 1 species